rnacentral:rRNA from 1 species
UUUUAAAUGGCCGCAGUAUUUUGACUGUGCAAAGGUAGCAUAAUCAUUAGUUUUUUAAUUAAAAGCUUGUAUGAAAGGCUGGACGAGGUAAAAUCUGUCUCUAUUUAAAUUAUAAUAGAAUUUAACUUUUAAGUUAAAAGGCUUAAAUAUUAUUAAAAGACGAGAAGACCCUAUAGAUCUUUAUAAUUUAUUAAAUGAAAUUAAUUUAGAAAUAUUAAUAUUUUAUUUAAUGUAAUUAUUUUAUUGGGGUAAUAAAAAGAUUGUAUUAAUUCUUUUUUAUAAUAAACAUUGAUUUAUGAAUAUUAAUGAUCCAGUUUUACUGAUUAUAAGAUUAAGUUACCUUAGGGAUAACAGCGUAAUUUUUUUAGAGAGUUCAUAUCGAUAAAAAAGUUUGCGACCUCGAUGUUGGAUUAAAGAUUAUUUUAGGUGCAGAAGCUUAAUAAUUUUGGUCUGUUCGACCAUUAAAUCUUUACAUGAUCUGAGUUCAGACCGGCGUAAGCCAGGUCGGUUUCUAUCUUUAAUAAAAUAAAAUAUUUUAGUACGAAAGGACCAAAUAUUUGAUAUAUUUAUAUUUAAUUUAUUGAAUAUUA